rnacentral:rRNA from 1 species
GCGUAACACGUGGGUAAUCUACCCUUGAGUGGGGGAUAACAUCCCGAAAGGGGUGCUAAUACCGCAUAACAUGGUUUGCUCUUCGGAGCGGAUCAUCAAAGGCUUCGGCCGCUCGAGGAUGAGCCCGCGCCCCAUCAGCUUGUUGGUAGGGUAACGGCCUACCAAGGCAACGACGGGUAGCUGGUCUGAGAGGAUGAUCAGCCACAUUGGGACUGGAACACGGCCCAG